GGUAUGCUGAUGAGCACUUGCUGUAGACUAGGGGACCCUGGGAAGAAAAUCUUGACUAUUCUGAUCUAUGUCUUUCCCUCUUUGGGGUAGGAGUUUUACUUAGGGUCUGUAAAAAUUAACGGAUGGCUAGAAAGAGGAGAGCAGCCACACUGCGCACAGCUGUAGGUCCCUGACUCCUCUCGACCUGACUGAAGCAAUGCGUGGGAUGCUGGGGUGGAGCUCACUCUCACACUCAAGCGCAGAAGGCAUCAGCUCCCGAACAGUUUCCAACCCCAUCUGGGCCUCAGUGGGAACCCAAAUCUAGCAGUGUUUGGGGCACUUUGCUAAGUCAUCCUCCUGUGGAGCCGAGAGGCUCUCGGGUGCCCUGAGCAAAGGUACUGUGGGCUUCGGACAGCGGAGCACUGCCUGGAGAUCUGCCUUCGCUCUGACUCCUGGAUCGUGUCCAGAUGCUUGGAUACUCCUGUCCCACUGGGUACAGGUACUCCAUCUGGGGACUGAGCCCUUUGACGAGACACUUCAAAUCCAAACCAGAACAGGCUGAAUUGACAACAUGGCUGCUAUCACCGUUGCUUCUAACGACACACCUGUGUCCUGACUCAUUUUCACCAUGUUGGCCCAAGAUCUGAACUUGCAUGGGCGGGUCUCCAUGGAAGCAGUCACGAUUCCCAUUGGUUGCAAGCCUGAAGCACACAGAGAGCGAUUCACAUGAGUGAAUCUCCAUCCCGAGACUCCCGAGGCUUUGGAUGGAGAAGGCAGAUGUUAUGUGAAAUGAGCAGGAUGGAGUCUUGGGAUUCUUCAGUGAAGCUCUGACUGCAGACCAGGCUCUCAACCACUGGCUCCCCAGUUACUUACCAGGAAUCUUCAUCUUGGAUAAGUUGUUGCUCUUCUGAGCCCCGACUCCCUCGCCGGUGAGAUAGAGAUAAGAACAUCUCUGUUGUGGGUCAAGGCAUAAUGUUUGCUGGGUGUAUGCAUCCUGAUUUCUGCCCUUAUUGUAAAACAAACAAAACAAAACAAAUAAAACAAAACAGAACGGAACGG
rnacentral:lncRNA from 1 species